rnacentral:rRNA from 1 species
UACGUAGGUGGCAAGCGUUGUCCGGAUUUACUGGGCGUAAAGAGCGCGCAGGCGGUCGUUCAAGUCGCGUGUGAAAGCCCCCGGCUCAACUGGGGAGGGUCAUUCGAUACUGUUCGACUCGAAGGCAGGAGAGGGAAGUGGAAUUCCCGGUGUAGUGGUGAAAUGCGUAGAUAUCGGGAGGAACACCGAUGGCGAAGGCAGGUCUCUGGGCCACUACUGACGCUGAGAAGCGAAAGCAUGGGGAGCGAACAGG